AUUGAACGCUGGCGGCGUGCCUAACACAUGCAAGUCGAGCGGUAACAGGUGUAGCAAUACAUGCUGACGAGCGGCGAACGGGUGAGUAAUGCUUUGGAAUCUUCCCAGUAGUGGGGAAUAACCAGUCGAAAGAUUGGCUAAUACCGCAUACGUCUGUAAAGGGAAAGCGGGGGACUCGCCUCUUCUUCGGAAGAGAGGCCUCGCGCUAUUGGAUGAGCCAAAGCGGAUUAGCUAGUUGGUGGGGUAAUGGCCUACCAAGGCGACAAUCCGUAGCUGGUCUGAGAGGACGACCAGCCACACCGGAACUGAGACACGGUCCGGACUCCUACGGGAGGCAGCAGUGGGAAUAUUGGACAAUGGGGAAACCCUGAUCCAGCGACGCCGCGUGUGUGAAGAAGGCCUGCGGGUUGUAAAGCACUUUUAGUGGGGACAAAAAGCUACGGAUUAAUACUCUGUGGUCUUGAUUUAACCUACAGAAAAGCACCGGCUAACUCUGUGCCAGCCGCC
rnacentral:rRNA from 1 species